GAUGAACGCUGGCGGCGUGCCUAAUACAUGCAAGUCGAGCGAAGCGGGGACGGGUGAGUAACACGUGGAUAACCUCCUAUGAGACUGGGAUACCUUCGGGAAACCGGAGCUAUCCCGGUUACUUCUAGAUGGAUCUGAGCUGCAUUAGCUAGUUGGGAAGGUAACGGCUUACCAAGGCAACGAUGCCUAGCCGACCUGAGAGGGUGAUCGGCCACACUGGAACUGAGACACGGUCCAGACUCCUACGGGAGGCAGCAGUAGGGAAUCUUCCGCAAUGGGCGAAAGCCUGACGGAGCAACGCCGCGUGAGUGAUGAAGGUCUUCGGAUCGUAAAACUCUGUUAUCAGGGAAGCGGUACCUAAACAGAAAGCCACGGCUAACUACGUGCCAGCAGCCGCGGUAAUAC
rnacentral:rRNA from 1 species